UACGUAGGGUCGCGAGCGUUGUCCGGAAUUACUGGGCGUAAAGAGCUCGUAGGUGGUUUGUCGCGUUGUCCGUGAAAACUCACAGCUUAACUGUGGGCGUGCGGGCGAUACGGGCAGACUGGAGUACUGCAGGGGAGACUGGAAUUCCUGGUGUAGCGGUGGAAUGCGCAGAUAUCAGGAGGAACACCGGUGGCGAAGGCGGGUCUCUGGGCAGUAACUGACGCUGAGGAGCGAAAGCGUGGGGAGCGAACAGG
rnacentral:rRNA from 1 species